UCUUUCACCGGAGCUUGCUCCACCGAAAGAAAAGGAGUGGCGAACGGGUGAGUAACACGUGGGUAACCUGCCCAUCAGAAGGGGAUAACACUUGGAAACAGGUGCUAAUACCGUAUAACAAUCGAAACCGCAUGGUUUCGGUUUGAAAGGCGCUUUUGCGUCACUGAUGGAUGGACCCGCGGUGCAUUAGCUAGUUGGUGAGGUAACGGCUCACCAAGGCAACGAUGCAUAGCCGACCUGAGAGGGUGAUCGGCCACAUUGGGACUGAGACACGGCCCAAACUCCUACGGGAGGCAGCAGUAGGGAAUCUUCGGCAAUGGACGCAAGUCUGACCGAGCAACGCCGCGUGAGUGAAGAAGGUUUUCGGAUCGUAAAACUCUGUUGUUAGAGAAGAACAAGGAUGAGAGUAGAAUGUUCAUCCCUUGACGGUAUCUAACCAGAAAGCCACGGCUAACUACGUGCCAGCAGCCGCGGUAAUACGUAGGUGGCAAGCGUUGUCCGGAUUUAUUGGGCGUAAAGCGAGCGCAGGCGGUUUCUUAAGUCUGAUGUGAAAGCCCCCGGCUCAAC
rnacentral:rRNA from 1 species